UCGGGCGUGGUGCACGGCGCACACUCCUUCUCCGUGCGCUCUUGUUUUUUGGAAGAUUGGAUCGGAGAGCCCCAGGUUCGACUCCUGGCGCCCGAA